CUACGGGAGGCAGCAGUGGGGAAUAUUGGACAAUGGGGGCAACCCUGAUCCAGCAAUGCCGCGUGUGUGAAGAAGGUCUUCGGAUCGUAAAGCACUUUCGACGGGGACGAUGAUGACGGUACCCGUAGAAGAAGCCCCGGCUAACUUCGUGCCAGCAGCCGCGGUAAUACGAAGGGGGCUAGCGUUGCUCGGAAUUACUGGGCGUAAAGGGCGCGUAGGCGGCUCUGUUAGUCAGGCGUGAAAUUCCUGGGCUUAACCUGGGGACUGCGCUUGAUACUGCGGGGCUUGAGGCCGAGAGAGGGUGGUGGAAUUCCCAGUGUAGAGGUGAAAUUCGUAGAUAUUGGGAAGAACACCGGUGGCGAAGGCGACCACCUGGCUCGGUACUGACGCUGAGGCGCGACAGCGUGGGGAACAAACAGGAUUAGAAACCCUGGUAGUCC
rnacentral:rRNA from 1 species